CCUACGGGGCGCAGCAGUGAGGAAUAUUGGUCAAUGGACGAGAGUCUGAACCAGCCAAGUAGCGUGAAGGAUGACUGCCCUAUGGGUUGUAAACUUCUUUUAUAAAGGAAUAAAACGAGGCACGUGUGCCUUUUUGCAUGUACUUUAUGAAUAAGGAUCGGCUAACUCCGUGCCAGCAGCCGCGGUAAUACGGAGGAUCCGAGCGUUAUCCGGAUUUAUUGGGUUUAAAGGGAGCGUAGAUGGGUUGUUAAGUCAGUUGUGAAAGUUUGCGGCUCAACCGUAAAAUUGCAAUUGAUACUGGCAGUCGUGAGUACAGUUGAGGUAGGCGGAAUUCGUGGUGUAGCGGUGAAAUGCUUAGAUAUCACGAAGAACCCCGAUUGCGAAGGCAGCUUACUAAACUGUGACUGACAUUGAUGCUCGAAAGUGUGGGUAUCAAACAGGAUUAGAUACCCUUGUAGUC
rnacentral:rRNA from 1 species